CAGCCGCCACGGUAAUACGUAGGUGACAAGCGUUGUCCGGAUUUAUUGGGCGUAAAGCGAGUGCAGGCGGUCAAUUAAGUCUGAUGUGAAAGCCCCCGGCUCAACCGGGGAGGGUCAUUGGAAACUGGUUGACUUGAGUGCAGAAGAGGAGAGUGGAAUUCCAUGUGUAGCGGUGAAAUGCGUAGAUAUAUGGAGGAACACCAGUGGCGAAGGCGACUCUCUGGUCUGUAACUGACGCUGAGGCUCGAAAGCGUGGGUAGCAAACAGGAUUAGAUACCCGCGUAGUCCCUGUCUCUUAUAC
rnacentral:rRNA from 1 species